GCGAGUCUGUAGAGACACAGGACACUUUGUAGCUUUUAUAUUCUGCUCUUUUACAAUAUAUACUCUCAUCGGGAGCGAUCAGCCUUUAAUAACACAGAAACAAAUCCAAUCCGGAAAUUGUUGGAGGAUACUGGCUGUAGUGGAGAGGAGUUAUAGCCUAGCUGAUGUUCAAGAACAUGUUGACGACGUCAGCCAUGAAGUUUUCAUCAACUCAACAUGAAGACAAACUGCCACCAGACAGGAGGAGGAGCAACAGUCAGCAUGCAGAUGGAAACAAGGGUGGGUGGUUGGAAGGCUGGAUAAAGGCUGGUAGAUGACUGAACUCAGAGACCCAGCGCAGCUCAUCAUCAUUGCCAUGGGCUCUCGUCUUCCUCCUCUCCUCCUGUGGCCCAUACCUCCAUCCAGGGGUCCAGCAGAGCCGGUGAAGCCCAGGCGGGGAGCAAGUGAGUGGGCUGGGAAGGAUGGAAAAGCUCCCUGAAGGCUCGAAGCACCUCUGGAGCUACCGGCAUGCAGGAGAAAUCAAUACGAAACACAGAGCCGGCACAGCAGAGUGGGGUUUCCUGUGUUAGUCUGUGGCCUCGGGCCCGCAGACCUCCAAAGGACGGGCCCUGUGUGGCCCUCUCAGCUGCAGCCCCUGCCCCUCAGACUGGACCUCAGUCCCAAUCUCCACUGGCUGUGUGUGGUUCUGCUGAAGGGGAUCUCUCCCCAAAUAAUACCCGAUUGCUGAUGAUGGGAAAUGAUUGGCUGAACAACUUUUGACACAAAGAAAAGGAUUUCUAAUUGGACCGGACCAACAUUAACUUUUUUGAAGGUUUUCUGAUGUAUAAAUGAAGCUUUUGACACUAAACAUGUUGUAGUCGACACUAAUUACAGCCUCUGAAAACACACACACACAUAAACAGACACACACACACACACACACUUCAAGGAAAGACUUGUUUUUUUGGGGUGGGGGGGUUUCACCAGCUGUACCUUGAAAUGUGUUUUCUAAUGUAAAAUAGGAAGUUUGUAUUGUUGGUAAAUAUUUAAUAUAUAUUCAAAUGUCCGAUAAUUUAUUUUUCUCAAUAUAUAUAAGACAUAUGUCAAUAUAUAAAGAUGAUGUUAAUUUAAGUAGAAUUUUCAUCAAUAUUAUUAAAUUAUUUUGUGACUGUUUGAAUAAAUAAGUCCAGGUUUAACUGCUAUCAUUGAUCCAUCUAUGCGCUCAUUGAAAGUGUUUUUUAGUUGUUUUUGUUUUUGAAAUGUUGUUUUACAAUAAAUAAGAAGGAUCAUUCCAUAUGUCGAGGUUGAGUCAGUUUAUAAAUGACCCUGAUGUGUUUUCCCCAUGCAAAACUUUGUGUGUGUAUAUUGUGUAAAUAUAUAUGUAUUAAAUAAA